rnacentral:rRNA from 1 species
GACGAACGCUGGCGGCGUGCUUAACACAUGCAAGUCGAACGAUGAAGGAGAGCUUGCUCUCCGGAUUAGUGGCGAACGGGUGAGUAACACGUGACUAACCUGCCCCUUUCUCUGGGAUAACGCUCCGAAAGGAGUGCUAAUACCGGAUACGAACUCUGAACACAUGUUCGGAGUUGGAAAGUUUUUCGGAAAGGGAUGGAGUCGCGGCCUAUCAGCUUGUUGGUGAGGUAAUGGCUCACCAAGGCGACGACGGGUAGCCGGCCUGAGAGGGCGACCGGCCACACUGGGACUGAGACACGGCCCAGACUCCUACGGGAGGCAGCAGUGGGGAAUAUUGCACAAUGGGCGAAAGCCUGAUGCAGCGACGCCGCGUGAGGGAUGAAGGUCUUCGGAUUGUAAACCUCUUUCAGUAGGGACGAAGCGAAAGUGACGGUACCUAAAGAAGAAGCACCGGCUAACUACGUGCCAGCCGCCGCAGUAA